rnacentral:lncRNA from 1 species
AAAAGUUUCGAAGAAAUUUAUUUUUCGAGCCUCAAGUCAGUGGGCGGUUUUUAGAGAUACACGCUCUUAAAAGUCAGAAGUUUAUGUUAUCAAUGAAACCGAAGGGUGAGGUCAGUGACAACACAAACUGAGGGCUUGAUAAUUUUUUAUAUCUCGGGAAAAUCGAAUUCAAUAUUUUUUUUUUACUAUAUAUUUAAAAGAUGAAAUACGGAUAUACAUCUUCAUUGCGGCAAGUCUCUUAUCAUGCCCGUCCGGUGGUGGUGGGAAAUGUGAGCUCUCACGUAGAAAAAUAUUGUGAAAUAUGCACAGAUAUGACUGUAAACUACACUAUAUCCCCAGAAUGCAAGAUUUUGCCAUUUCUGAGACAUUGCGGACGUACCCCCUAACUUGCCUUAGUACUAGAAUUUGUAAUCACGAACACCCCAAAUAUGUCUCCGGAAGGCUUGCUUCUUAUAUUCUGAUAUAAAUCAUCAGAUCUAGACGAAUCUUCAAUGAACAAUGUCCGAUAAUGAUGAUAAUCGGUUGGAUAUUUGUUAUCCUCAAGUUUAGAUGAGUAGAUUGAUUAUUUUUGUUAUAUUUUUGAUAAUGUAUUUGUUUUCAUCAUAGAAAUUUAAUGGAG